CAAGAAGAGUGGUUCUGUUUUGGGUAGGGUCAGCGAGGAAAAUGAGUCGACUGAAAUUGAAGAAAUUACUGAAGUGCCAGCAAGAGCUAGACCACAAAGGGCAAACCGCGGGCAGACUAAGUAUGUGAUAAGUGACUCUGAGAGCGACGAGGCUAAUGAGAGUAGCGACCAGGACAAUGAUUCUGACUUUGAGAGCUACCACGACAAUGAUUCAGACUUUGAAUGAAGAUGAAGACUAAAUUGCUGCUUGCUUUUCUCUUGAUACAGUGUCACUUCAGAUCAGAAAUGGGAACCCCCUGAACUGAGCAGUGUUGGUCCUAAAGCAGCUUGAUGGUUUGAAACACGUAGUGUUUGUUAACUACUGUUGAAAUGUGUUUAGUUGCAUUGAUCAUUUGAAUUUGAUUUCUUUCCUGUAAAUGGAGCCUGAUUUCUCCAUGACCUAAUUUCAUAAUCCUAUUCAAC
rnacentral:misc_RNA from 1 species